GUUCCAAACUGUUUCAUAGUCCCAAAUUGUUCCAAUAACAGAGAAGUUCUGCCGGCGACCUGCGCAAGGAUGACACGCAAAUUCGUGAAGCGUUCCAUAUUUUU
rnacentral:snRNA from 1 species